rnacentral:rRNA from 1 species
AACGAACGCUGGCGGCAUGCCUAACACAUGCAAGUCGAACGAAACCGUCGGGUCUAGUGGCGCACGGGUGCGUACGGCCUGGGAACCUGCCCUUGGGUUACCAAUACCUGCCCGAAGGGGGUGCUCAUACCGGUGAGUCUAAUCCCACCAAGGAUCUCUCGCCUUGGGGUGGGCCCGCGUUAGAUUAGCUAGUUGGUAGGGUACAAGCCUCCCAUGGACGUGAUGCUUAGCUGGUCUGAUAGUAUGAUCAGCCAGACUGGGACUGCGACACGGCCCAGACUCCUACGGAGGGGUGCAGUAGGGAAUAUUGGGGACGGGGCGCAGGCGUGAUAAAGCAAUGUCGGGUGAGUGAUGAAGGCCGUAGGAUUGUAAAGCUCUUUUACCCGAGAUGAGAGUGACAGUAACGGGAGAAUAAGCACCGGCUAACUACGUG